GAUGAACGCUGGCGGUAUGCUUAACACAUGCAAGUCGAACGGAGUGCUUCGGCACUUAGUGGCGGACGGGUGAGUAACGCGUGAGAAUCUGGCUUCGGGUUCGGGACAACAGUGGGAAACUGCUGCUAAUACCGGAUGUGCCUAAGGGUAAAAGAUUAAUUGCCCGAAGAUGAGCUCGCGUCCGAUUAGCUAGUUGGUGUGGUAAGAGCGCACCAAGGCGUCGAUCGGUAGCUGGUCUGAGAGGACGAUCAGCCACACUGGGACUGAGACACGGCCCAGACUCCUACGGGAGGCAGCAGUGGGGAAUUUUCCGCAAUGGGCGAAAGCCUGACGGAGCAAUACCGCGUGAGGGAGGAAGGCUCUUGGGUUGUAAACCUCUUUUCUCAGGGAAGAAAAGAAUGACGGUACCUGAGGAAUCAGCAUCGGCUAACUCCGUGCCAGCCGCCGCCGUAAGAC
rnacentral:rRNA from 1 species